UACAGGGGGGGCAAGCGUUGUUCGGAAUUACUGGGCGUAAAGGGUCUGUAGGUGGCCAACUAAGUCAGACGUGAAAUCCCUCAGCUUAACUGGGGAACUGCGUCUGAUACUGGAUGGCUUGAGUGUGGGAGAGGAAUGCGGAAUUCCAGGUGUAGCGGUGAAAUGCGUAGAUAUCUGGAGGAACACCGGUGGCGAAGGCGGCAUUCUGGACCAUAACUGACGCUGAGGCGCGAAAGCUAGGGGAGCAAACAGG
rnacentral:rRNA from 1 species